CUACACAUGCAGUCGAGCGGAUGAGAAGAGCUUGCUCUUCGAUUCAGCGGCGGACGGGUGAGUAAUACCUAGGAAUCUGCCUGGUAGUGGGGGACAACGUUUCGAAAGGAACGCUAAUACCGCAUACGCCCUACGGGGGAAAGCAGGGGACCUUCGGGCCUUGCGCUAUCAGAUGAGCCUAGGUCGGAUUAGCUAGUUGGUGAGGUAAUGGCUCACCAAGGCGACGAUCCGUAACUGGUCUGAGAGGAUGAUCAGUCACACUGGAACUGAGACACGGUCCAGACUCCUACGGGAGGCAGCAGUGGGGAAUAUUGGACAAUGGGCGAAAGCCUGAUCCAGCCAUGCCGCGUGUGUGAAGAAGGUCUUCGGAUUGUAAAGCACUUUAAGUUGGGAGGAAGGGCAUUAACCUAAUACGUUAGUGUUUUGACGUUACCGACAGAAUAAGCACCGGCUAACUCUGUGCCAGCAGCCGCGGUAAUACAGAGGGUGCAAGCGUUAAUCGGAAUUACUGGGCGUAAAGCGCGCGUAGGUGGUUCGUUAAGUUGGAUGUGAAAUCCCCGGGCUCAACCUGGGAACUGCAUCCAAAACUGGCGAGCUAGAGUAGGGCAGAGGGUGGUGGAAUUUCCUGUGUAGCGGUGAAAUGCGUAGAUAUAGGAAGGAACACCAGUGGCGAAGGCGACCACCUGGGCUCAUACUGACACUGAGGUGCGAAAGCGUGGGGAGCAAACAGGAUUAGAUACCCUGGUAGUCCACGCCGUAAACGAUGUCAACUAGCCGUUGGAAUCCUUGAGAUUUUAGUGGCGCAGCUAACGCAUUAAGUUGACCGCCUGGGG
rnacentral:rRNA from 1 species